AAUAGUGAAAAUUAAUUGUGUGGAGAGAAGUAUGAGGAUUGGGGAAAGUAGGGGAGGGGUUGCCUAUGAUAAUUAAUCUCAAUAAUAUUCAUAUGAUUAUGGCAUGUGUAGUGGAAUGGGUGACAUGUGUCAUGCAGUUCUAUAAACUUAUCACGAAAGAUAAGGAAAACGAUGCCUAAUAUAUAAACGUGUUUUAACUUGGUUUCAAUUCAUAUAUUUUAUUUCUUUCAUUUUCAGAUGUGCACAAGUAGAUAGUUAAGCUUAUAUAAAGUUGAACAAUAGAUACACACAUCCUACAUGAC
rnacentral:lncRNA from 1 species